rnacentral:lncRNA from 1 species
CGUCAAAAAGAGGGGGUACGUCGAAUUCCUCAUCGCUGAUUUCAGAGAGUGGGUGUGUCUCGCGCACUGGCGGUAUGGGGGGCUUUGUUGGGUAAGAUUCAUGUACAUGGAAUUAGGUGUACGUGUGGACGAGUCGGAAUGCAGUGUGGCUGUGGACUUUGACGAAGAUUGUUCACGUGUAUGUUCCCUCUGGUGUACACCGUGGAAGUUUAGAUCUUUCUUCCACUCAGUAGGCUCAUCGCCAGAUAAAAGGACUGUAUGAUCGAAAGCAUUGCCAGUGGU